AACWCGUGGGUAACCUGCCCAUCAGAAGGGGAUAACACUUGGAAACAGGUGCUAAUACCGUAUAACAAUCGAAACCGCAUGGUUUUGAUUUGAAAGGCGCUUUCGGGUGUCGCUGAUGGAUGGACCCGCGGUGCAUUAGCUAGUUGGUGAGGUAACGGCUCACCAAGGCCACGAUGCAUAGCCGACCUGAGAGGGUGAUCGGCCACAUUGGGACUGAGACACGGCCCAAACUCCUACGGGAGGCAGCAGUAGGGAAUCUUCGGCAAUGGACGAAAGUCUGACCGAGCAACGCCGCGUGAGUGAAGAAGGUUUUCGGAUCGUAAAACUCUGUUGUUAGAGAAGAACAAGGAUGAGAGUAACUGUUCAUCCCUUGACGGUAUCUAACCAGAAAGCCACGGCUAACUACGUGCCAGCAGCCGCGGUAAUACGUAGGUGGCAAGCGUUGUCCGGAUUUAUUGGGCGUAAAGCGAGCGCAGGCGGUUUCUUAAGUCUGAUGUGAAAGCCCCCGGCUCAACCGGGGAGGGUCAUUGGAAACUGGGAGACUUGAGUGCAGAAGAGGAGAGUGGAAUUCCAUGUGUAGCGGUGAAAUGCGUAGAUAUAUGGAGGAACACCAGUGGCGAAGGCGGCUCUCUGGUCUGUAACUGACGCUGAGGCUCGAAAGCGUGGGGAGCAAACAGGAUUAGAUACCCUGGUAGUCCACGCCGUAAACGAWRARUGSUAAGUGUUGGAGGGUUUCCGCCCUUCAGUGCUGCAGCUAACGCAUAAGSCA
rnacentral:rRNA from 1 species